rnacentral:rRNA from 1 species
CCCCGUUGAUCCUGCGGGAGGUUGCUGCUAUCUGGAUUCGACUAAGCCAUGCAAGUCAGAGCUGCAAAGCUCGGCAAAAUGCUCAGUAACACGUCGAUAAUCUGCCUUUAGGUGGGGGAUAACCUUGGUAACCUGAGGAUAAGACCCUAUAGGGGAUGGAUUCUGGAACGAACCAUCCUUUAAACGCAAGGCCUAAAGAUGAGUCGGCGGCUGAUUAGCUUGUUGGUGAGGUAACGGCUCACCAAGGCGAUGAUCAGUAGGGGCCAUGAGAGUGGGAGCCCCGAGAAGGACACUGAGAUACUGGUCCUAGCCCCACGGGGUGCAGCAGGCGCGAAAACUUUUCAAUGCACGAAAGUGUGAAAAGGGAAUCCAGAGUGCCUAUACACAGUAUAGGCUUUUGCCAAGUGUAAAAAGCUUGGAGAAUAAGUGGUGGGUAAGACCGGUGCCAGCAGCCGCGGUAACCCCGGCGCCACUAGUGGGAGUCACCUUUAUUGGGCCUAAAGCGUUCGUAGCGGGUUCGGUAAAUCUCUUGUGAAAUCGUCAGGCUUAACCUAACGGCUUGCAGGAGACACUGCCUUACUUGAGACCGGGAGGAGUCAGAGGAAUGCUGGGGGAAGCGGUAAAAUGCAAUAAUCCUCAGUAGACCACCUGUGGCGAAGGCGUCUGACUAGAACGGAUCUGACCGUGAGGAACGAAAGCCAGGGGAGCAAACCGGAUUAGAUACCCGAGUAGUCCUGGCCUUAAACGCUGCGAGCUUGGUGUUGCAUAUUCUUCGUGAAUAUGCAGUGUCGAAGUGAAGACGUUAAGCUCGCCGCCUGGGAAGUACAGUCGCAAGGCAGAAACUUAAAAAUUGGCGGGGGAGCACCACAAGGGGUGCGGCGUGCGGUUUAAUCUAACUCCACGCAGAGAAUCUCACCAGCAGCGACGGUAGGAUGAAAGUCAGGCUGAAGACCUUACUUGACGAACCGAGAGGUAGUGCAUGGCCGUCGUCAGCUCGUGCUGUGAAGUGUCCUGUUAAGUCAGGCAACGAGCGAGACCUACACUUACAAUUGCUAACGGCUAGCGUGCUAGGACUGAGCACAUUGUAAGGACUGCCCGUGAAAACGGGAGGAAGGUGUAGGCUACGAUAGGUCUGUAUGCUCCGAAUCCGCUGGGCUACACGCGCGCAACAAUGGUAGCGACAAUGGGAUGCAACUCCGAAAGGAGGAGCAAAUCCUCGAAACGCUAUCCAAGUUCAGAUUGAGGGUUGUAACUCACCCUCAUGACGUUGGAAUCCCUAGUAAUCGGGCUUCAUCACGGCCCGGUGAAUUUGUCCCUGCUCCUUGUACACACCGCCCGUCAAACCAACCGAGCAGGGUUUAAGUGAGUCUUGGCUUUCUUGGUCAAGCCGAACUUAGACUCAGUAAGGUGGGUUAAGUCGUCACAAGGUA